rnacentral:rRNA from 1 species
GAUGGCGACCGGCGCACGGGUGAGUAACACGUAUCCAACCUGCCGAUGACUCGGGGAUAGCCUUUCGAAAGAAAGAUUAAUACCCGAUGGCAUAGUUCUUCCGCAUGGUGGAACUAUUAAAGAAUUUCGGUCAUCGAUGGGGAUGCGUUCCAUUAGGUUGUUGGCGGGGUAACGGCCCACCAAGCCUUCGAUGGAUAGGGGUUCUGAGAGGAAGGUCCCCCACCAUUGGAACUGAGACACGGUCCAAACUCCUACGGGAGGCAGCAUG